CAGAGAAAGGCUCUGAGCAUUACAAUGUCUCAUGGAACUAAGUUUUGUCAAAGGGACACAUCAGACGAGAAGGGCCCCAUGAUACAACAUCAGGGCUUCUGAAAAGACCCAAAGAGGAGAAUGGUUAUGGUGUCAGGAAUGGAGACUGUGUACAGGACCAACAGCCUACAUGUUCUGUCGCCAAGUGUGAUAUAAUUACUCUGAAUUCUGAACCCUCCAGCAGCAAGCUCACAUGGAUGCCAGAGGUGACAAAGUACCAAGGACAAGAUCAACAACUCAAAGGAGACUUUAAUCCAGGAUGUAAGUAUUCCCCUUUCUCAGAGACCAAGUA